ACUUGAACCACACACGUUUGUCUCAUGCGUAGGUAGGUUUUUGUCAACAAGGAUGGUAUGGUCCGAGAGGUGUUUAUUUUCGACGGCAGGAAAGGUUGUAGCAAGCAUCAUUUAUACAAUUUGUUUGAAAUAACCAUAUAGCUCCUGUCAUGAACGCAAUUUGGCGAUGGAUUCCCUUGUUAGCAAGACCUUCUUUUUCGUGUCAGUCACCGUGUGUCUUCUGCAGUGAUUAGAUUAUUUGCGAUGUGAAGAUAUUGUUAUCCUUACAUUUUUGAAAUGUGAAUUUGCAUUAUCUAUUCACCAUGUCGGUAAAUACACCAUGUAUUUGAUAUAAUGAUCUAUCUAUUUUUAAGAAUA